UGGUUUACAGGCAUGAACUAUUAUACAAAUAAUGAAUGUUUAUGAGUGCAAUGGUAAGAAUAUUUUCAUGAGGUGAAAGAUGGAAUGUUCCAUUCAACGAGGCGACAGCCGAGUUGAAUGGAACAUUUCAUCUUUCACCGAAUGAAAAUAUUCUUGCCAUUGCACGAAAAAAAUUCAUUAUUUGUUUUAUAUAAUACCAAAAUAGACUAAUAGAUUCGUAUGCGAGAAGCAUUUGUGAGGGAUGCGAUUUAUCGAAAACACAAAGAGUGCAAUUGUACUAUACGUUUUAUUCCAUUGCACUCGCAGAGAGUGCAAUGGAACGUAUUCCAUUGCACUCUUGGGAAAUGGAAUUUUCUAUUCAAUAUCACGUGACCAUAAACAGCCAAUUAAACGAUCAGAAUUCAAUAAGGUAUUAUAUAAUAUAAACUAUAGCCGUUGAGAACGACCAUAUGGAAACCAGGCUUAACUAGGAAACAAAGGCAAAAUCUCACUAAUCAUUAUAUGAAUCAUUAUUACAUUAAUCGCUUUUGAGUAAAAAUCUCGUCAUGGUCAUUAAACAUGCAUGUGACCAAACCAUCACCAUUCGCAAAUGUUAUAUAGAUUUAAUUUUAUACAUAAAAUCAAAA